rnacentral:rRNA from 1 species
UACGGGGGGGGCAAGCGUUGUUCGGAAUUACUGGGCGUAAAGGGCUCGUAGGCGGCCAACUAAGUCGGAUGUGAAAUCCCCAGGCUCAACUUGGGAACUGCAUCCGAUACUGGAUGGCUUGAAUUCGGGAGAGGGAUGCAGAAUUCCAGGUGUAGCGGUGAAAUGCGUAGAUAUCUGGAGGAACACCGGUGGCGAAGGCGGCAUCCUGGACCAGCACUGACGCUGAGGCAUGAAAGCGUGGGGAGCAAACAGG